GUUACUGCUAUCGGAGUUCGAUUAAGCCAUGCGAGUCUAAAGGUUUCUUCGGAAGCCUUGGCGGACUGCUCAGUAACACGUGGAUAACCUGCCCUUAGGUCUGGCAUAACCCCGGGAAACUGGGGAUAAUACCGGAUAGAUCAGGGGUCGCUGGAAUGCGCCCUGAUCCAAAGCUCCGGCGCCUAAGGAUGGGUCUGCGACCUAUCAGGUUGUAGUGGGUGUAAUGUACCUACUAGCCGACGACGGGUACGGGUUGUGAGAGCAAGAGCCCGGAGAUGGAUUCUGAGACACGAAUCCAGGCCCUACGGGGUGCAGCAGGCGCGAAACCUUUACAAUGUGCGAAAGCAUGAUAAGGGAACUCCGAGUGCCAGCAUUAAAUGUUGGCUGUCCUUGUGCCUAAAACGCACAAGAUAGCAAGGGCCGGGUAAGACCGGUGCCAGCCGCCGCGGUAACACCGGCGGCCCGAGUGGUAGCCGCUAUUAUUGGGUCUAAAGGGUCCGUAGCCGGUUUGAUAAGUCCUCUGGGAAAUCUGAUUGCUCAACAAUCAGGCUGCCAAGGGAUACUGUCAAACUUGAGACCGGGAGAGGUAAGAGGUACUUCAGGGGUAGGAGUGAAAUCUUAUAAUCCUUGGGGGACCGUCUGUGGCGAAGGCGUCUUACCAGAACGGGUCUGACGGUGAGGGACGAAAGCUGGGGGCGCGAACCGGAUUAGAUACCCGGGUAGUCCCAGCCGUAAACGAUGCUCGCUAUGUGUCAGAUACGGUGCGACCGUAUCUGGUGCCAUAGGGAAGCCGUGAAGCGAGCCACCUGGGAAGUACGGCCGCAAGGCUGAAACUUAAAGGAAUUGGCGGGGGAGCACUACAACGGGUGGAGCCUGCGGUUU
rnacentral:rRNA from 1 species